AUAGACACACAGGCACAGCCGCGCCCAAAAAUCAGCCCCCGAAGGUCGGGGUCCCAAGACCCCCCAGCGGAAAAAUGGCCAAAAAACGGGUGGGCUAUAGCCUUGGUGGCGGGAGUGGGCGAAGUUCGUCCGCGGGACUCGGAAUGGCACCAUACUUGGCGGGCGGCCUCCGUGUGCCAAAAAUAGACCACGGGCACGGCCGCGCCCAAAAAUCAGCCCCCGAAGGUCGGGGUCCCAAGACCCCCCAGCGGAAAAAUGGCCAAAAAAUGGGUGGGCUAUAGCCUAUGUGGGGGGCGUGGGCGAAGUUCGUCCGCCGGACUCGGAAUGGCCCCAGACUUGGCGGGCGGCCUCCGUGUGCCAAAAAUAGGCCACGGGCACAGCCGCGCCCAAAAAUCAGCCCCCGAAGGUCGGAGUCCCAAGAACCCCCCAGCGGAAAAAUGGCCAAAAAACGGGUGGGCUAUAGCCUUGGUGGGGGGCGUGGGCGAAGUUCGUCCGCGGGACUCGGAAUGGCCCCAGACUUGGCGGGCGGCCUCCGUGUGCCAAAAAUAGGCCACGGGCACAACCGCGCCCAAAAAUCAGCCCCCGAAGGUCGGGGUCCCAAGACCCCCCAGCGGAAAAAUGGCCAAAAGACGGGUGGGCUAUAGCCUUGGUGGGGGGAGUGGGCGAAGUUCGUCCGCGGGACUUGGAAUGGCACCAUACUUGGCGGGCGGCCUCCGUGUGCCAAAAAUAGGCGAAGUUCGUCCGCGGGACUCGGAAUGGCACCCGACUUGGCGGGCGGCCUCCGUUUGCCAAAAAUAGGCCACGGGCACAGCCGCGCCCAAAAAUCAGCCCCCGAAGGUCGGGGACCCAAGACCCCCCAGCGGAAAAAUGGCCAAAAGACGAGUGGGCUAUAGCCUUGGUGGGGGGAGUGGGCGAAGUUCGUCCGCGGGACUCGGAAUGGCACCAUACUUGGCGGGCGGCCUCCGUGUGCCAAAAAUAGGCCACGGGCACAGCCGCGCCCAAAAAUCAGCCCCCGAAGGUCGGGGACCCAAGACCCCCCAGCGGAAAAAUGGCCAAAAGACGGGUGGGCUAUAGCCUUGGUGGGGGGAGUGGGCGAAGUUCGUCCGCGGGACUCGGAAUGGCCCCAUACUUGGCGGGCGGCCUCCCUGUGCCAAAAAUAGGCCAGGGGCACAGCCGCCCCCAAAAAUCAGCCCC
rnacentral:lncRNA from 1 species